CUGAGGCAGCCAAGACGAGGAGGAUAUGAAGGAAGAAGAGGCUGUAGCUGUGCUGAAUGAGCUGUGGGUUUGGCUGGUCCCACUGGUGGUCACUGUCAUUGGUGGGGCUGUGUGGGUGGACCCUGUGGCCUUGAGCGUUGUUGGUGGAGGAACGGUGCCUGUUGGCGUUGAGUGGAUGGAGGCAGAAGUGGCCAUCUGUGUGUGGGUAGUGAUGAUGACUGUGUGAGUACUUGGAGUCACCAAGGAGGUGGAGAAAGAUGGAACGUGAGUGGGAAGUGUGGUGUGAGGGUGUGAUGGGGUUGGAUAGGUAGUGGUGGUCUGGAAGGAUGUUGCAGUGACAGGACCUGUGGAAGAGAUGGGAGUGGUCCCUGUAGGUGGGGAGUGUGUGGUGAAGGGUGUGGGUAGCCUGCUGCUGGUGGCCGACGUGGUGUGGGCCACAGGGGUUCUGGUGCCUGUACUGGUGUGGUUGGGGGUGAUGCUGGUGGUAGAAGUUGAGGUGACUUCAGGAUGGUGUGUGGAGGAAGUGUGUGAAUGUAGGGAUGUAGAGGUUUUGGCUGUGUUUAAUGAGCUCAGGGCUUGGCUGGUCCCGCUGGUGGUCAGCGUCAUUGUUGGCGCUGUGUGGGUGGACCCUGUGGCCUUGAGCGUUGUCGGUGGAGGAAUCGUGCCUGUUGGCAUUGAGUGGAUGGAGGCAGAAGUGGCCAUCUGUGCAUGGGUAGGGGUGAUGACUGUGUGAGUACUUGGAGUCACCAAAGAGGUGGAGAAAGGUGGAACGUGAGUGGGAAGUGUGGUCUGAGGGUGUGAUGGGGUUGGAUAGGUAGUGGUGGCAUGGAAAGAUGUUGCAGUGACAGGACCUGUGGAAGGGACGGG
rnacentral:lncRNA from 1 species